UUUAAGUGAUUUUCAAUGCAUGUAUGUGAUACCUGAAGCUUCUCUGCAAUCUCACGUGUUGUACUGUCGAUCCGAAUCGAUUAUUGCUUUGAUUAGGUCGUCAUCAACUUCAACUGGACGACCAGAGCGUUUUUCAUCUUUGAGUGAAAAAUCACCAGAACGAAAUUUGGCAAACCAAUUUUGACACUACCGUUCUUUUAUAGAUUCGUCGCCAUAAACAGCACAAAAUAAAAAUGUUCUUUUGAUCUUCCAUUUUUCAACAAACACCAAACGAAAACUACGCAACCGAUCAAAAAACUUUUUUUUUACUGAUUGACAGCUGAAUUGCAAACUAUCAAUUAACAAAAUGUGUUUUACAUUUGGACUACGCUAACAAAUCAAAAAAUUCAACUGAAGCAAUCUAUGAGUGAAAUCUGCAAUUACUACCAACCCAAUAUUUAUAUCGGUCCGCUAUAUGACGAAUGUAGUAAUGUUCCAUCUCUGGUUUGUAGUUUUUUGAUCUGUUUAUAGAUCUUAAAAAUAGCCUUGAAAAGUGUGAGCUCCCUUUUUAUUGGGACUCUAAUUUAAAUUUAUACGAGCAAAUUGGAGAGUCUGGAUUGGCUGAUAUGAGAAGAUGUGUGCGAAGUAAAACAAGAUUACUAGAAAACUAUGCAAGGCUGAAAGUUAAAACGGAAGCUGAUCAUAUCAAAGUUUACAAAACUUUUUUGUCAGUCACGGAAUUAAAUAAUAUAAAAAGUACAGCAGUUCCUGAGGACAAGUCUGCAGAGAAAA